CACGGAGUAGUGGUUACGCCCUUGGCUUUUGGAAUCAGAUUUCUGGGCCUACUUCUGGGUACUGCCACUUAACCAACCGUGUGACCUUGGGUGAUGUCUGUGCUUGGACAGUCUGGUGACUUCUGCAUAGACCCCAGGCAGCCUCUGGUCAUCCCAGACCCUCUGCAGGGAGGGAGGAGCGACAGCUUUCCGUGUUGCUCCCUAUGGCUUCCAAAGGCGGCGGCAUUUCUGAGCGAGCAGGAACGCUGGCCCGCUGCUCCCUGCUUCUGAAACUAAUUGGGAGUUGAUUCUGAUGAAUAAAUGUGCUGCUGCCGCCGGAGGAAUUGACCGCGCCGGCAGAUGGCUGGAGCAUGAGAAACACUCUGUCGUGGCCUUCUAAGGGGCCCAUCAAUAAUAGAUCGGCUCCAGCCCUCGGAGAGGGAAGCAUUUCUG